rnacentral:rRNA from 1 species
GGCAGCUUACCAUGCAAGUCGAGGGGUAUGGUUCUUCGGAACCAGAGACCGGCGCACGGGUGCGUAACGCGUAUGCAAUCUACCUUUCACAGAGGGAUAGCCCAAAGAAAUUUGGAUUAAUACCUCAUAGUAUUAUGAAAUGGCAUCAUUUUAUAAUUAAAGUCACAACGGUGAAAGAUGAGCAUGCGUCCCAUUAGCUAGUUGGUAAGGUAACGGCUUACCAAGGCUACGAUGGGUAGGGGUCCUGAGAAGGGAGAUCCCCCACACCUGGUACUUGAGACACGGACCAGACUCAUACGGGAGGCAGCAGUGAGGAAUAUUGGACAAUGGGCGCAAGCCUGAUCCAGCCAUGCCGCGUGCAGGAUGACGGUCCUUAUGGAUUGUAAACUGCUUUUAUACGAGAAGAAACACUCCGACGUGUCGGAGCUUGACGGUAUCGUAAGAAUAAGGAUCGGCUAACUCCGUGCCAGCAGCCGCGGUAAUACGGAGGAUCCAAGCGUUAUCCGGAAUCAUUGGGUUUAAAGGGUCCGUAGGCGGUUUGGUAAGUCAGUGGUGAAAGCCCAUCGCUCAACGGUGGAACGGCCAUUGAUACUGCCAGACUUGAAUUAUUAGGAAGUAACUAGAAUAUGUAGUGUAGCGGUGAAAUGCUUAGAGAUUACAUGGAAUACCAAUUGCGAAGGCAGGUUACUACUAAUGGAUUGACGCUGAUGGACGAAAGCGUGGGUAGCGAACAGGAUUAGAUACCCUGGUAGUCCACGCCGUAAACGAUGGAUACUAGCUGUUGGGAGCAAUCUCAGUGGCUAAGCGAAAGUGAUAAGUAUCCCACCUGGGGAGUACGUUCGCAAGAAUGAAACUCAAAGGAAUUGACGGGGGCCCGCACAAGCGGUGGAGCAUGUGGUUUAAUUCGAUGAUACCCGAGGAACCUUACCAAGGCUUAAAUGUAUUUUGACCGGUUUGGAAACAGAUCUUUCGCAAGACAAAUUACAAGGUGCUGCAUGGUUGUCCCCCACCUCCUGCCCUGAGGGGUCCAGGUUAAUUCCUAUAACGAGGCGCACCCCCUGUUGUUAUUUGCCACCGAGUCAAGUCGGGGAACUCUAACAAGACUGCCAUUGCAAACUGGGAAGGAAGGGGGGGGAAGAACUUCAAAUCAUCCCCGGCCCUUUACCCCUUGGGGUUAACACCCGGGUUAAAAUGGGCCGGUUAAAAA